UCGGCAUUGGGAUCGGCAUUGCGGGUCACCACGAGGUACUCACGCAGCGCGAUGGCGUGCAGGUUCUC
rfam:Mycobacterium abscessus strain PAP053 genome assembly, contig: ERS075544SCcontig000003